rnacentral:misc_RNA from 1 species
ACAAAAACCACAAUCUAUAAAGACCAUGUGCCCAUCUUAGGUUCCAUAUCCAAGAUACCAAGCAGCAAUUGAUAGACCAUAUCACUGAUGCAUUAGCUACAACAACAUGGACAACAAAUACCACUUUGAUGUUCGCAUACAUCGCAAGCAAUGCAAAACGAAAGAGAACUUUGUUCAAGCCAAACAAUGCCAUCGGUUAGGAAUGCAACACAAGAGACCACAUGAUACUAAUGGCAAAGGAGCCAAGUAGCAUGUUUCACAAGGUAAGAACGCAUGGCAGUUCCUGCACAAGCAGACAAUCAACCACCCGUAACAAACCAAACACCACUCAUGCACCUUUAUGGAAAUCAUCCCCGAAGAUCGCCUACCAGACAACUACCCCCUCGGCAACAUGCGUGAGAAAG